UCUGCCCAGGACGACAAGACCACAAUCCAGUGUGAGACGUCUCCUCCCACCACCCCUCGCUCCAUGCGCCUGCACAAGGGCCAGCCACACUGCCAGCCAUGAGGACAUCAGGGACAUCCGCAGUAUGACCACCCUACAGGACGGCCAGGGUAGUAACCCCAGCAGCAGUAACAGCAGUCAGGACUCUCUGAACAAGGCAGCCAAGAAGAAGAGCAUCAAGUCCUCCAUCGGGCGCCUCUUCGGCAAGGAGGAGAAGGGUCGGCCAGGCCCCCAGGGAGCAAGGAGUCCCCUGGCAGCCAAGGUCAGCAGAGACCUCUCCCCAGGAUGCACGGGGCUGGGCAAACUAGGCGGCCCGCUGAGAAGAACAGGAAACUGCAGAAGAAGCAUGAGUUGCUGGAGGAGGCUCGCAGGCAGAGUCUUCCCUUCGCCCAGUGGGACGGCCCUACUGUAGUGGUCUGGCUGGAGCUGUGGGUGGGUAUGCCAGCCUGGUACGUGGCGGCGUGUCGUGCCAAUGUGAAGAGUGGUGCCAUCAUGUCUGCCCUGUCGGACACAGAGAUCCAGAGGAGAUUGGCAUCAGUAACCCCUGCACCGCCUCAAACUGAGACUGGCCAUCCAGGAGAUCAUGUCUCUCACCUCCCCUCUGCCCCCCGACCUCCAGAACCACGCUGGCAUAUGGAGACAUGAACCAUGAGUGGAUUGGUAACGAGUGGCUGCCCAGCCUGGGUCUGCCCCAGUACCGGUCCUACUUCAUGGAGUCCCUGGUAGACGCACGCAUGCUGGAUCACCUCACCAAGAAGGACAUGAGGGGACAGCUUAAAAUGGUGGACAGUUUCCACAGGAACAGUUUCCAGUGUGGGGUGAUGUGUCUGAGGAGACUGAACUACGACAGGAAGGAGCUGGAGAGGAGGCGUGACGAGACCCAGCUGGAGCUGCAAGACGUGCUGGUGUGGAGCAACGAGCGUGUGAUCAGCUGGGUACAGGCCAUGGGGCUGAAGGAGUACAGUAACAACCUGCUGGAGAGCGGCGUGCACGGAGCCCUGCUGGCCCUGGAUGAAACCUUCGACCACAACGCCCUGGCCCUGCUGCUGCAGAUCCCCACGCAGAACACACAGGCGAGAGCGGCUCUGGAGAGUGAGUACAACAGUCUACUGUCCAUCGGUACAGAGAGGAAACUGGAUGAGGAGGACGAUAACAAUUUCCGGCGCGCCCCCUCCUGGAGGAAGAAGUUCCGGCCCAAAGACGCACGGGGGAUGUCCCCGGGCUCAGCCGACACCCUGCCCGCCAACUUCAGACUGACCAAUAGCAACGCAGCGUCCCCCUCCACGCAGCCGAAAAGGAGUCACAUGGACGGGAGUCAGUCUGCAAUACAGAGGCUGGACACUGCCACAGUCAGGACAUACUCCUGCUAACACAACACAUUGAUCCUCAUUAUUUCUAUAGGUGACUGCUGGUUGGAGGAUGAGGGUUGAGUCCCCCCCCCCAUCAGGAGCAGCUGCUGACCCUGCAAGGACACAGAGUUUUAUUGUUAUCACAGCGAUAAAAGAAGUAGCAACCACAUCACCAAUCUCCGUACUAGAGGGCCCGUGUCAUAGAUGUAUCAAUCUUUAUUGUUCUAUUUAUAUUAGCAAGCUGGUGGGACAUGAUUUUAGAUUUGUUAUGUAUCUAUCUGUUACUUCACCCGUCUCUCCCGGCUAAAUGGAAAUGUCCCUAUUUUCAAAAAUACUGUUCCAACUGUGUCCUUAUCAAGGUUAACUCUCAGAUGUAACUGAAUGUUUUUAGAUGGUCUGGAGUUUGUAUAUUUUUUCAACAGACAUUAUCUAAUCAUUUUAUAUAUAUAUAUAUUCCUGAUCUUGUAUUGACCAGAUGUAUGUUUUUAUUUCUCUGUCCUCUGUUGUUUUUAAUCAUUGAACUGAUGAUCAAGUGACUUAAAUAAGUGACUUUCUAUCUGAAUUGGACCCCAUUUCCCUUCGACCCCAGCCUGUUAUCUUCAAGCGUAUCCAUGGUGAUUAUUUGUAAAUGCAGCUCUUAUAGGACAAUGAGAAUAUGUGAAUAUCAGAAAUAUUGCUGGAGUUAUAUAUAUAUCUGACUGACAUUGUUUCACCAACUGCUACAACGCUGUGGUCGCUAAGCACCGGGCGGACCGUAACCACAAGGCCCUAGGUAACUGUGACGACAGGUGACACGUGAAACAACUCUUGGUUCUUUCCUGUGAAACCAAACCUGUAGAAAGACUGAAACAAAAGCCAUAAACAGUAGUGAUGACCAGGGCUGUUUUCAGAUGCAUCGCUUGGUAAGAGACCGUUCCACUGUGUAGGAUCUCCCAUUCUCCAGUCAACCUCGCAUGCCCAAACUCUCCAUUCCUCUUUUCCUCCUCCUCCUCAUCCCUCUCUUUUCCCUGCCUUCCCCCUGGAGCGCGCUAACGGGAGGCCAGACGUGCGUGAAGAUCAACUCGCUUGUACCUGAGCCGACAGCGUGGCGGCUCUACUAUCGACGGACCAAGUCCACUGUGGCCUAAACUGAUCCCAGCGACUAGCUUACUCACCCGAGGUGGAGCGAUCUACCCACAAACCUUUAACCAACUCUUUUUACUACGGACACUUCUAAUCCAGCCUGAUGGGAGGUUUUUUCUUACCUUAUUUUCUCUGGCUUGUCUUAUUUAUUCGUCAUCUCCGUCGUGUUUGUUGCUUUCUCAGUUUGAUUUUUAGGAGUUGCCAUUUUUUUAAAGCUGUUUCUGAGUGUUUUAACACAGGUUGCCGUGGCAAUACUUUUUCAAGACAGAUAAUGUCACGGAAGCAAAGACUUCCUGUCCACAUUAGUUAUGUUAUUCCCUUUGUGAUUUAGUCAUUUUAUAAUGCACAAUGCAAAUGCUAUUAUUAUUAUUAUUAUUGUUUUGUUUUUUUAAUCUUCAGUUUUCCCCAUUUUAUUCUCCUGCUCUGGUAACAAAAUGAUGUACAGUCUGAGUACUUAACUAUUUUAUCACAGUAUUAUUUAUGGAUUUACUUUCAAUAAAAUACUGAAACUUAUUUUCCACUGCCAAUAAAAAGCUUAAGUCUUUGUGUUUUUAAAGCAUCUCUUGCCUGAACACGUGGUUCUUAACACGACUGUAAAGACUAAACACCUUCCAGUGACUCGGUUGGGGCUUGUACAGUUGUACACCACUGUCUGUCCUGACAAGGGUUCCCCUGCUAACUUUGAUUAGACAUGAUGACGUGGGUUCCCCUGCUAGCUUUGAUUAGACAUGAUGACGUGGGUUCCCCUGCUAACUUUGAUUAGACAUGAUGACGUGGGUUCCCCUGCUAACUUUGAUUAGACAUGAUGACGAGGGUUCCCCUGCUAACUUUGAUUAGACAUGAUGACGUGGGUUCCCCUGCUAACUUUGAUUAGACAUGAUGACGAGGGUUCCCCUGCUAACUUUGAUUAGACAUGAUGACGUGGGUUCCCCUGCUAACUUUGAUUAGACAUGAUGACGUGGGUUCCCCUGCUAACUUUGAUUAGACAUGAUGACGUGGGUUCCCCUGCUAACUUUGAUUAGACAUGAUGACGUGGGUUCCCCUGCUAACUUUGAUUAGACAUGAUGACGUGGGUUCCCCUGCUAACUUUGAUUAGACAUGAUGACGAGGGUUCCCCUGCUAACUUUGAUUAGACAUGAUGACGUGGGUUCCCCUGCUAACUUUGAUUAGACAUGAUGACGUGGGUUCCCCUGCUAACUUUGAUUAGACAUGAUGACGAGGGUUCCCCUGCUAACUUUGAUUAGACAUGAUGACGUGGGUUCCCCUGCUAACUUUGAUUAGACAUGAUGACGA